rnacentral:rRNA from 1 species
AUUGAACGCUGGCGGCAGGCCUAACACAUGCAAGUCGAGCGGUAGCACAGAGAGCUUGCUCUCGGGUGACGAGCGGCGGACGGGUGAGUAAUGUCUGGGAAACUGCCCGAUGGAGGGGGAUAACUACUGGAAACGGUAGCUAAUACCGCAUAACGUCGCAAGACCAAAGAGGGGGACCUUCGGGCCUCUUGCCAUCGGAUGUGCCCAGAUGGGAUUAGCUAGUAGGUGGGGUAACGGCUCACCUAGGCGACGAUCCCUAGCUGGUCUGAGAGGAUGACCAGCCACACUGGAACUGAGACACGGUCCAGACUCCUACGGGAGGCAGCAGUGGGGAAUAUUGCACAAUGGGCGCAAGCCUGAUGCAGCCAUGCCGCGUGUAUGAAGAAGGCCUUCGGGUUGUAAAGUACUUUCAGCGGGGAGGAAGGUGUUGAGGUUAAUAACCUCAGCAAUUGACGUUACCCGCAGAAGAAGCACCGGCUAACUCCGUGCCAGCAGCCGCCGUAA